GAGAGUUUCAAUAAUAUCAUCUUACAUAUUAAUUUCAAGCAUGAUUUGUAUUUAAAUCUCUUAAUUUCCGUUCUAUAUAAUAUUAAGUUCAGGUUUGAUGUUCUGAGAGUUUCAAUAAUAUCAUCUUACAUAUUAAUUUCAAGCAUGAUUUGUAUUUGAAUCUGUCUUAAUUUCCAUUCUAUAUAAUAUUAAGUCCAGGUUUGAUGUUCUGAGAGUUACAGUAAUAUCAUCUUCCAUAUUAAUUUCAAGCAUGAUUUGUAUUUGAAUCUGUCUUAAUUUCCAUUCUAUAUAAUAUUAAGUUCAGGUUUGAUGUGGUGAGAGUUACAAUCAUAUCUUACAUAUUAAUUUCAAGCAUGAUUUGUAUUUGAAUCUGUCUUAAUUUCCGUUCUAUAUAAUGUUGAGUUCAGGUCUGAUGUGCUGAAAGUUACAAUCAUAUCUUACAUAUUAAUUUCAGGCACAAUUUGUAUUUGAAUCUGUCUUAAUUUCCAUUCUAUAUAACAUUAAGUUCAGGUCUGAUGUGCUGAGAGUUACAAUCAUAUCAUCUUUCAUAUUAAGUACAAAUACAAUCGAGUCAUUGAUUUUAUAUUUGAAACUCUUAAUUUCUGUUCCAUAUAAAAUUAAGUUGGUUUGAUGUGCCGAGUGUGUUCCGGUGUUAAGACAAUGAACAAGUAUCUUAGGGCAAUAAUCUUAGCAAUAACAAAGAGCUGCAUAAUCCUAGAGGCUUCCACACUGGUUAUAGAGGCUUGAAUUACAUAUAGUGAUUAUACAUAUACUUAUCAUUCUACUUAUAAAUACCCUCUCAGUCGUAAUAUCUGAUUGAAUAAUGUUAAGGCCUCUCGCACUUCAUAUAGUUGUUUUUUUACGAUAUUUCGCUUUACAAUUGACAUUCUUUUACUGUCUGCUCUAGUUACGAUAACCGAGAGAGCCCGGGCGGAGUGGAAAAAUUUGGGCGGCUUUUCCGAUACCCUACGCCCCUGUCCACCCAGCAGUGAAUGGGUACCAGGUAUUAAUCAAGGGUUGUGUCCCGUCUCCUGGGGUCUGUUCCCUUCUAUAAUUCCUUCCCCCUCCUGUCUCUCUCCGACAUAUGACCACAGAUGUUGCGCCGACUAAACCAAACUUUUUAACUUUCACUGAUAAACAAACUUCAGUUGAUCUGAACAGGAGUAGACCAGAUGAUGUUUAGAUUAUCAGGAUUUUAAUGUACGAUUUUUAUGCUUGUUUGUUUUGCUUUGUGUGUGUGUGUAGUCAUUCUGUUUAAAAUGGUCAUACAUCUUUUAUUGUUAAGUAUAAUAAGAUUUUUUAUAUAAGUUUUAUCAGGAAUUAAAGCAGUAAGUCAAAGCUU